rnacentral:rRNA from 1 species
GACGAACGCUGGCGGCGUGCUUAACACAUGCAAGUCGAACGAAGUGGCGAACGGGUGAGUAACGCGUAAUCAACCUGCCCUUCAGAGGGGGAAAACAGUUGGACACGACUGCUAAUCCCGCAUACUGAAGGAGGGGAUUGCGUGGGAUUAGCUAGGUGGGGGGGUAACGGCCCACCAAGGCGAGGAUCCGUAGCCGGGCUGAGAAGAAUAACGGCCACAUUGGGACCUGGACCAGGGCCAGACGCCUACGGGGGGCCGCAGUGGGGAAUCUUCCGCAAUGGACGGAAGUCCUACUGAGCAACGCCGCGUGAGUUAUGACGGCCUUCGGGUUGUAAAGCUCUGUUAAUCGGGACGCGGUACCGGAAUAGAAAGCCACGGCUAACUACGUGCCAGCAGCCGCGGUAAUUC